rnacentral:rRNA from 1 species
UACGUAGGGGCCAAGCGUUGUCCGGAUUUAUUGGGCGUAAAGAGCUUGUAGGCGGUUCGGCAAGUCGAAUGUGAAAUCUCCACGCUCAACGUGGAGGGGUCAUUCGAUACUGCCGUGACUUGAGUACGGUAGGGGAGUGUGGAAUUCCCGGUGUAGCGGUGAAAUGCGCAGAGAUCGGGAGGAACACCCGUAGCGAAGGCGGCACUCUGGGCCGAUACUGACGCUGAGGAGCGAAAGCGUGGGGAGCGAACAGG